rnacentral:rRNA from 1 species
GACGAGCCACACAAACGUUAUUCGGAAUUACUGGGCUUAAAGGGCGCGUAGGCGGCGGGGUAAGUCGGGUGUGAAAUCUCAGGGCUCAACCCUGAAACUGCACUCGAUACUGCUCUGCUUGAGGACUGGAGAGGAGACUGGAAUUCACGGUGUAGCAGUGAAAUGCGUAGAUAUCGUGAGGAAGACCAGUGGCGAAGGCGGGUCUCUGGACAGUUCCUGACACUGAGACACGAAGGCCAGGG